rnacentral:tRNA from 1 species
UCCCUGGUGGUCUAGUGGUUAGAACUCAGGGCUUUCCCUGCCUCGGCCUGGGUUCAAUCCCUGGUUGGGGAA